rnacentral:RNase_P_RNA from 1 species
AAUGCAGGUUGUUCUAUCGCUGUUUCGAAUAAAAUCGAGAGAGAGGAAAGUCCGGGCAACGCAGGGCAUCUCGCUUUCUAACGGAAAGGGAUUCAAGAAUGAAAACUUGAGUUACGGAUUAGUGCAACAGAAAAUAUACCGUUCUGGCUUUAAGUCGGAAUAAGGGUGAAAACGUGCGGUAAGAGCGCACGAGCAUUGCAGGCGACUGUAAUUGUUUGUAAACCCCGAGAGUUGAAAGACCAAAUAGGCUAACGCAUGUAGGGCUGCCCGUCCGAUGUUAGUGGGUAGGUCGUUAGAGAUAAACGGCAACGUUUAUAGUGGAUUAAUGAUAGAAAUUCUGAGUAAUCAGGAACAGAACCCGGCUUAUAGACCUGCAUUUUUU